UAAGAAAUUAAGCGUACACGGUGGAUGCCUAGGCAAUCAGAGGCGAUGAAGGACGUGUUAAUCUGCGAAAAGCGACGGUAAGCCGAUAAAAGGCGCUAUAACCGUUGAUGUCCGAAUGGGGAAACCCAGUGUAGGUGACUACACUAUCAUCUGAUGAAUCCAUAGUCAGAUGAGGCGAACCGGGAGAACUGAAACAUCUAAGUACCCCGAGGAAAAGAAAUCAACCGAGAUUCCCUAAGUAGCGGCGAGCGAAAGGGGAGUAGCCCAAGCGGG
rnacentral:rRNA from 1 species